UCUAAAAAUUGUGCUAAAUAUACUUGGUGUUAAUAUGAAAAACAAAGUUAUUUUUUCAUCAUUUUAGCUUUCAUCAUUAUAGCUGACAAGUAACAUAACUGAGUGUAAUGCAACCUAAGACAGGACAUCCAAGAAAUAACUACACACUUGUGUUACCGAGAGUGGGUCUGGCUGCUCACCACUCAAAAGCCAAUAAAGAGGCAGGGUUAGUGGAAAGGAAAGUUUGCUUUAUUUCAGAGGCCAGCAACUGGGGGAGGGGAGGGCAGACUCCUGUCCAAAGGCCAACUCCCUCGACUGACAAUCAGUGGGUAGAGCUUUUAUAGACGGAGAGAGGGGGCUACAUGCAGAAACAGCACAGUCAGCUCUGACAUGUACUUCAAGCCAGCAGUGAUACACCUCAUAAGUAGUUAUACUCUGUGACAACUUCAUUAGACAAUUCUUUUCCAUCAUGAACACUGGAGUCAAAAGUAUGGUUAGAAGUAAAAUAAUAGCUUUCCAUUAGAUUAAAAAAAAUUUUCUUUUUACUAAUAUUUCUAUCUGAGAUGUCUCAGGGGUGCUCUGGACAACUCAAAGUUAGCUAGAGAAAGAAACUUACAAUCUGUUAUCAAAAACAGCUCAAUAUUCCAGGAGAACUUUGUUCUCUUAACACAGAGAGAAAACCAAAUUCAGUCUUGCAUCAGUUUACUGUUAAUAACAAAAUUCAUUUACCUAAUUAAACUCAAUCUAAUUUUAAUCCUGACAAUGUACAAAAUUCUUUUUUCAAAGUUCCUUUUUCACAAACCUUUUAGCACUUUCUGGAUCCAUAUUAAUUUUUCCCUUGUUUUCCCAUACAGAAGCCACCAGCCCUACGACAAAAUUAUUCUCCUUUUUUUCCCAACAAAAAUAUCUCACCUUUAUACCUUCUCUUGCUGACAACACAUAUCGUACUUGCUUUAUAUACUGAAAUGCUUCCCUUACCAUUUUUACAUAUUACAGUUUUUAACCUUGAAAACCUUAACAAAACCAAGAAACAAGUAAUUGAACUGUUAUACCAGCAUUUUUUGAUUGGCAAACUUAAGAACAUAUUUCAUAGCCUCUAAAAACAUAUAUUUUUUUCAUAGCACAAUUUCUCUUUAAUGGUACAAGAUGUUUGUUUAAUAAACCUAAGCCCUCUUUCCUCUUUUUUCUUUUUUCUUGGCUUGAAGUUUUACUAAUUUACCCAAGGCUGAAGUCUCAGGCAAAGUGGGCUGUGUUUGUAUUUUAAAGACACGAUAAAAGUUAACUUCAAGCUUUAUCCUAGGCAUAUUUUUGUUCUCUCAGGGUCAGAAUUCUGAAAACAGUAUUUUAUCAAGCUAGCUUUCUCUAACUGCAUAUGCAAAAAGAACCAGUUUUGGAGUUUCAAAAGAGUUUCAUCUUAACCAAUUUUCUCCAGAGUCUAAAGAGUACUGUUGCCAUACAUUGGUUAAAAAAAAAAAAAAAUCUUUUUCUUUAGUCAUAGUUUUAUAGCUAAAAUUUUUCUUAAUGAAUUGAACCUGAAUUUCCCAUUUUACAAAAGGCAACAAGAAUACCAGUCACACAAAUGCAAUACACACUCACACACCCGAAGACAGAACUGUCACAAACCCUCCAGAGGAUGACUGAUACAGAGUCCCAGACAAACACUUCCCAACACAAAUGGGCCUUGACGUCAGACACAAGUCAGAACCAAUUAGGAAUACACCCAAAUGACACUCAGUGCUCGCAAAGGGUCCUCAACAUCAGAAACACGUCAGACCAAUUGGCAAAAUGCCCAAAUAGCACCUCAUGCUCAAAAGAGAAGUUUUCCAGACGCACACCAGUGCACUUACUCAGUCUUGGAGCUCGUCAGCUCGUCCAGAGGCAUCUUUCCGUUCCACCAAGGAAAAGCGUACGUUGGCAGCCAGUGCCGAGCAGGGGAGAAACAGGGAGGAACCCUGAUACAAAUGGUUUCAGCAGCUGCUAGGAACGUCCCCACCUAACCCCUCUCAGGGUAGGGCCAGUGAGCCAUGAGCAGAGCACUCCUCACCGCCUUCCUGCCACAUCAUCAUGGCGGCCGCUCUGCUUGGGAAAACCUGGGAGCCAGAUAUCGCGAGAUCCCAGCCUCACUUUUGGCGCCAAAAGCUGUUAGUGAAAGUGGAUCCAGCUGCUCCUGCUCAAAAGCCAAUAAAGAGGCAAGGUUGGUGGAAAGGAAAGUUUGCUUUAUUUUGGAGGUCGGCAAAUGAGGGUGGGGGGCAGACUCCUGUCCAAAGGCCGACUCCCCCCGCUGACAAUCAGUGGGCAAGAGCUUUUAUAGGCGGAGGGAGGGGGCUACAUGCAGAAACAGCAGUCAGCUCUGACGCUCAUCUUGAAAUUGGUCAUCCACCAAUGGUCAGACUACCAUCAUCUUGAUUGCUUUAAGUACAGUUAGUCUUUAGUUCCAGGGUUGGUUUGUUCCCAUUUCUUUGAGGCCAGCUUUUGGAAUUGUGGCAGCUUAUGUCAUGGUCAUGAUGUAGUUAACUUCUUCCACCUGGUUUUAGUCUCUGUAAGACAGCUCACAGUCUCUAUCUGAGCUCACAGCUCAGAAUAUUAUCUAUAGCCCUUGAAAAGGAACUAAAGUCCUUCACUUUGCUUAAUGACUAAACUAUUAUUAUUUAGUUUUGUUGGACUGUUUUCCUUUGUUUCUGCAUUUCUCUUUUUUUUUUUUUUUUUUUUUUGCGGUACGCGGGCCUCUCACUGUUGUGGCUUCUCCCGUUGCAGAGCACAGGCUCCGGACGCGCAGGCUCAGCGGCCAUGGCUCACGGGCCCAGCCGCUCCGCGGCAUGUGGGAUCUUCCCGUACCGGGGCACGAACCCGUGUCCGCUGCAUCGGCAGGCGGACUCUCAACCACUGCGCCACCAGGUUCUCACUUUGGGACAACUAAACUGGUCCGUUUUGCAUAGUCACAUGACUAUGACUACAUGAAAGCCAAGCAAAGAUGCUAAUCUUCUAAACAAAGAGGCACCAAGGGAGAGACUGGACCUGGGGACUCACAGGACUGAGAGAAUCACGAAGACAUUCUGCACUGGGUUUGCACUGCACUAUCUUCAAGACCUUAGAAAAUUCUCAUUAAAAGUUAUAAUGCUGACUUUGUUAAAAAUACCGUGGUCCCGGGGAGCACAGAUGCCUGCAAGAAGCUGGCUCAAAAUUGGCAAGAAGAGCACAGCAAUGAAUAGUCCUUGGUCUGUGGUCCAGAGCAAGUUGGGGGCUGAAAUGGCAAAUGACAACCAGGGAAGAUCUAGGAAGGUCUGAGCACUUCUCAGGUUCCUGGGGGAAAGAAAUAGAAUCAGUAUCUGGAUUUCCUGAGAUCAAACAGAGUGAGACUCAAACUACUGUGAUUUGGCAUUUAAAGGAAGUGUGACACGAAAACAAACUGAAAUUUUUAAAUCAUAGUCCUUAUAAAGCUUGGAAAAACAUGCAGCACAAUGCCUCAUUAUACUAACAAAGGAGCUGAGGCUCACAGGAAUCAUCAGAGUCUCAGUUUCCCUGUCUUUAAAGUAGGAAAGGUGGACAAGAUCUUCUUAAGUAAUUCUAAGUGGUGGAGGGAAUGGCUGCUGGAGGGCAGCCAAGUGUUUGCUGCAAAUUGUGCUGAGUAUCAGCCUGCUUUCUGAUAAAAUAUUAAGGUUGGGAAUAUUUGCCUCACAGCUAAAAUUUACUAUUUGUUUCUGAGGCUUUUGCUGCCUGUGUUUCUGUCACUUCUUUCUUGAUUGUACAACAGCCCCAGCCUUCUGACAAACCUGCUUUGGAAACUGGCCAAGAAAUGCUAGCUUGCUCCCAGGGCCGAGAGAUGGCAUGUCACUUUCUCAUCUGGAAAGAACGACUCUAGAAAAGGCCAUUUCUCCUUGUAUUAUCUAUUGGUCCACCAGCCACCUUUAGGCCAAAUCUGUCAGCCUUCUGUGUGUCUGCUCCAGGACCAGGCCUGAGCCUGAAACUUCUUUUGUACCAGGGAAACUUCCAGAUCAGCCCCACACUCCUCACUUGGCUUCUCCGUGGGCAAUAAAGCAGCAAGUUCCAUCACCGAUGUCCAAAUGGCAAAUGAGAAGUGAUGGUUUGAGUAGAAGGUACUGUCUGGAAAAGAAGAGAAAGGCAGCGCUUGUGACAGAGCUGUUCACACUUUCCCUGCACAGCUGGGAGACAUUAGCUGGAUUUCCCCAGACUGGUCUGCUUUCUGGCACCGGUGAGUUAAAAACCCCCCAGAGCCUCCAAGUUUAGCUGGACUUCUAUCAUACACAUUUAGCAGCUAAAUCACCAAAAGUCGCUUUCAAAUAUUCAUGCAAAGCUGCAUCUUUACCCAAGGUCAGGAGUUCAAUAGAAGUUAGCAAAAAGAAAAAAAAGGAAUGGGAGGCAGAGGGCAAGAAAACAAAGAGAAAAUAUGGAUAGAUUACCUUGGUUCAAAAGCUGCUUUCUUUUCGAGGGAGUUUGUGCUCAGGAAGGUAGAUAAAAGAUAGUUCUGCAAUAAGUAGGGUGUAAUAUACAGUAGGAGAAUGAACACAAAUAAUAUUUCUAUGUAUGUUGAUUUCUACUCCUGCCACCCUACUGAGUGGAUGGUAAGGAGGUUAAGCAUUUGAAAUUUAGUAAAUAAAUAACCCACAUUUCAGGAUGCUUUCUUUACUACACUUAUAUCCAGCAGUCUGGUCUGCCUCUAUCAAAGGCUGUCAACUGAUUUUAUACAAAAGUUAUAUGUAAAAUCUGUUUAACACAAAAUCUGUUUAGUAGCAAAAUAUGUGGUCUUUUUAUUGCUUUUGUCAAAGCUAUCUUAAAUCAGACACCAGAAAAUGUUUUUUAUGAAUACCUUUUAAAUCUUGUGUUAUUUGCAUAGUGGAGGGGAAAAAUCCAAAACACAGCCUCAGAAUAGAAAAGGCUGGAUUCCAGCCCUACCUCACAGCCAAGUAACAAUAUUUUCAGAGUGUCCUAUAACUAUGGGGCACAGCAUCCUGUUCCCUUCACUUUAAUGGGAACUUAAUUAUGAAAAAUUCUACUUUUCUCAAUAUCAAGUGUUCUAUUAACAGCUUCUGAUCGCAUAGUCAGGUGCUAUCUCUGGAACUUUUAUUUAUACCUCACUUUAUUCCAACAGAAAUCCCAAGUUGCUCUAUGGGCCAGCUUAUAGGACUUUGAUAUAGCUUUCAGAUUUUAAAUGUUUUUCUGAAUCUAUACAGCAAUAUCAGAAUGGAUUUUGAAAGUGUCAGCUCUGAUUUAAAAUGGCUUAAAACAGGAUUGUGUCUAGAAAUCUUCAUUUAUAGCUUGUACCUAAAUAAUUUAAUCCUGCUCACUUAAAUGAUCUAUGUAUUCCCUUCUGCCCCAACGUAUAUAAAAAUUAAAAAAAGACAAACAUCCUUCCACAUGUUAAUGAUAUAAUCUUAGUAUUACAAUAUAAGAAUGGCCUCAAGAGUAAUGACACCUGCUGGCAAAUUCCCAAUUUAAGUAAAAAGAAAAAAGAAUUCUGUCUCAAAAAAGACAAUAUUUUAGCAUUUAGAUCUGUGGUUUCCCUGUUUUCUAGAGCCGGGGGCUCAUGAGAGCAGAGCUAGAAAGACUGAGGCAAAUGGAAACAGCUCCAGCCCACCCCUCAAAGAGCAGCACUUUCAUUGGUGGUGGUUUUAUUUAUUGGACUUCUACAUAAAAUUCAAUUAAAGAAAAGGAUUUCUUUUUAAAUUCUUAUUUUAUAUUGGAGUAUAGUUGAUUUACAAUGUUGUCUUAGUUUCAGGUGUACAGCAAAGUGAUUCAGUUAUACGCAUAUAUGUAUCCAUUCUUUUUCAAAUUCUUUUCCCAUUUCUUGACCAAAAAACAAAAAAGAAUGGAAAACAAACACAAAAGCCCGAUCUAGGUGGAAAGAGGCAAACCAGGAGCCAUGAGAGCAGAUCUUGCCCAUGGAGUUUUUUGGCCCGUCAUUAAAUUUUUAAAACCAUGUUGCCAAUAUUUAAAGACAAGUCAUUUUACACAAAAAUCUGGAUCUCUUGACAACUGGGGAGGUCUGAAAACACUGGGAUCCCAUUCCCACAGAUAACUGGGUCUGGGUAACCCCCUUUAGAAAGUCACACACCCUCCAGUUCACCAGGUCCCCACACAUCUGUUGACCAGAGUGAAGUAUUCUGUAAUUAGAGUGUUCUGAGAGUAUAGUGAAAGAAACAAUAGAGGAUGUGUCCUGACCGUACCAGACAGCACACAGCUCUCUACCCUCUGGUGUGUUGCCCAAGAUGCAUGCCUGCUCAAACUCAAGCUUUGUGACUUAGACAAAUUGAGUCUUUAAGGGACAGAACGCAGCAGCUUCCACCAGGGCGUGGUUCAGCUUCAGACAGAUUGGGGGUUUGGCAGCCUUAUGUCCUUGGUAGCAUUUUGUGAAGAGAGGCUGGCACUACCUGGGUUAACUUCAGGUAGAAUCAGGAGGACAUCAGUUUCCUAUCACAUACCAAAGGAUGACUGAUUGCAACUCUGCUUUUGUCUAACAGCCCAGACAUCUUCCUCCCUUCUCCACCCUACAGUGAUCUCAGAAUCACAACUGAGAUGAGUCAAUACAGGAGGGUUGUGUAAAGAAGAGCUUUUCCAACCUGUUUGUACCAUGACCUGCAGUACAGAAUGUAUUGGGCCACAUGUACACACAAACUCACACGCACACAAGUUUUGUGUUCUAGCACUUGCCCUUGCUAAGUAAAAAUAUCCUAUUUUGUAUUCAAAUUUAUUGUUUCAUUUUUAAAAGUGCUGUUUCUGACCUAGUGUACUGAUUUCACAGUCCUUAGUAGGUCAUAAUCUGAAGUUUGAAAAACAUGGUUUAAGAGACAUCCUGUUAACUAUUUACAAUAACCAAGACAUGGAAGCAACCUAAAUGUCCAUAGACAGUUGAAUGGAUAAUGACGAUGUGGUACAUAUAUACAACGGAAUAUUACUCAGCCAUAAAAAAGAAUGAAAUAAUGCCAUUUGCAGCAACAUGGAUGGACCUAGAAAUUAUCAUACUUAAGUGAAGUAAGGCAGACAGAGAAAGACAAAUAUAUGAUAUCACUCAUAUGUGGAAUCUAAUUUAAAAAAAGAUACAAAUGAACUUAUUUACAAACAGAAGCAGACUUACAGAUAUCAAAAACAAACUUAUGGUUACCAAAGGGGAAACGUUAUGGGGAGGGAUAAAUCAGGAGCUUGGGAUUCACAUACACACACACUACUAUAUAUAAGAUAGAUAACCAACAAGGACCUGCUAUAUAGCACAGGGAACUCUACUCAAUAUUCUGUGAUGACCUAUAUGAGAAAAGAAUCUAAAAAAGAAUGAAUAUAUGUAUAUAUAUAACUGAAUCACUUUGCUGUAUACCUUUACUAACACAACACUAUAAAUCAACUAUACUCCAAUAAAAUUAAAAUAUUAAAAAAAAAGAGAGACAUGCUGUCAAUUUAUCUCCUAGAUUUUUAAAGUUCUCUCUCCAUGGUAGUGGUCAUAAGAAAAUAACGUCUAUGUGAUAUUAUUUUAACUCCUUAUAGAGAUGCUAAAAUUGAAUUAUGAAUUAAUAUUUUACCCUUGUCUUUCAUCAAAGGCUGAGAUAAGAUACAGCCAUAUUCAUGCACAGUGUUCUUUGCAGGGUUGUAUUCUUGAUGUGUUCCUCUUGGAGUUCAAGAAAAUUUUGGUCGUGACUGGUAUACAGUAUUUUACUAUGUGAUUAUUAUGGAAUAACAUCUUUCAUUUCCUGUUUUUCCAUGACCGUUAGGAAACUUAAAACUUUAAUACACGUCUGCUGUAGCUUUUCUUAACCUGGA